UGGCUGUUCUGUGUGUUUGCGGUCAAUGUGUUUUUUUUAAGUUUUUUCUAUUAAUGAGGAUAUUGCAAACUGGGCAUUUUUUUUUUAUCACAGGCUGCACACGAACCCUGUGUGGUGUGGUCAGAGUGGUUGGAGAAGGUGUGGUCAGCGCUGCAGUGGCUGGAGAAGGUGUGGUCAGCGUUGCAGUGGCUGGAGAAGGUGUGGUCAGCGCUGCAGUGGCUGGAGAAGGUGUGGUCAGCGUUGCAGUGGCUGGAGAAGGUGUGGUCAGCGCUGCAGUGGCUGGAGAAGGUGUGGUCAGCGUUGCAGUGGCUGGAGAAGGUGUGGUCAGCGCUGCAGUGGCUGGAGAAGGUGUGGUCAGCG